AUUGAACGCUGGCGGCAGGCCUAACACAUGCAAGUCGAACGAGUGGCGGACGGGUGAGUAAUGUCUGGGAAACUGCCCGAUGGAGGGGGAUAACUACUGGAAACGGUAGCUAAUACCGCAUACCAUCGGAUGUGCCCCACGGGGAUUAGCUAGUAGGUGGGGUAACGGCUCACCUAGGCGACGAUCCCUAGCUGGUCUGAGAGGAUGACCAGCCACAAUGGAACUGAGACACGGUCCAGACUCCUACGGGAGGUAGCAGUUGGGAAUAUUGCACAAUGGGCGCAAGCCUGAUGCAGCCAUGCCGCGUGUAUGAAGAAGGCCUUCGUGUUGUAAAGUACUUUCAGCGGGGAGGCGUUACCCGCAGAAGAAGCACCGGCUAACUCCGUGCCAGCAGCCGCGGUAAUAC
rnacentral:rRNA from 1 species